rnacentral:tRNA from 1 species
GAGUUAAGAUGUAGAUGGCUUCUACUGUAGAACUGCAACUUCUUUCAAUAGGGUUCGAUUCCCUCUUGACUCU